ACCUCGUGAUCCGCCCGCCUCGGCCUGCCAAAGUGCUGGGAUUACAGGCGUGAGCCACCGCGCCCGGCCGGGCAUCCUCUUUAAAGGUAAAACUUCAGGCGAAAUGUGUGACUCAGCACUGUCUUUGAGCAUGUAGUGUGUGCUCAGCCUGGGACCCCUCACCCCCACCAGCAGUCAUGCCAGCGGGGGACUUAACAGAAGAGGGGACUGGCCUUCCCUGGGGUUGAGCGCCCUGACCGAGGUCACACAGCUGGUGAGCAGGGAGACCGGGAUCCUGCCACCUCCGCUAGGUGCAAACCCUGUGCUGAGCCCUAAGAGCUACCACGGGAGGCCACCAUCCGCUGAGCUCCUGCUGCACUGCGGCCCGGCUCUAGCAUUUUCUAUGUCUUAACUCAGUUCCUUCUCACCCCAACCCCAUGGGGCGGUGCUGAGAUUCUCCCCGUCUUAUAGAAGGGGAAGUUAAGGCAAGGAGAGGUUAGAAGAGCCAGCAAGGGGGCCACACGGCCAGUAGGCGGCGCUGAGUGUGUUGCAGCAGGUCCCACGGAAGAAGCAAAGUUGUGGGAGCCCUACUUCCUGCGGAGCCCCUCCCCCACCUCCCUGCCAUCCACUUCCUGCUGCUGACCUAGGAUUGCUGGCAAUAAAACCGCAAGAGUGUGCAUGGAGGAGGCCCUUAACAUCCACACUGUCACUUAACUUUUACAACCUCCACAUGAUCGAUAUGACAGAUAUUUAUCCUGUUCUUCUCUCUAACAGAUGUGAGGGAGUCUUGGCCCAAAGAACUUCAGUCACUUGCCCGGGACUCACAGUGAGUUGUGGAGCCUUGAGAAGUCCAGGGUGGCCCCACGGCAAAGUGGGGGGCUCCCUGCCUUAUAAGGCACAAGGCGGAGCUCAGAGGGGGCCCAGAGUUGGCCCACACUGCUCCAGAAUCGGGGUCACACUCAGGUCUCCCAAGUCCUGGACUGUGUUCACCCUGCCCUGCUGCUCGAACUUUUCAAUAACUGCCACUUUGAGAUGGGCUGACUUGACGUACCCUCUCCUUAAAACUGUGAAAUGUUUUUUUCAAACUGAAGGAAACUCCCAGGCCCCUGCCCACUCAUGCCAACGGUGGCUCACACACAGGUGAUUCUCAAUGUCAGUCACCAUCCCUCAUUACAUCCCAGCCCUGUGAGGCAGGCAAAGUGUCAUGCCCAUUUCAUAGAUGGGGAAACUGAGGUUCAAAGAGGCCUGCUGUUUGCCCCUGGGCAUUUAGCAGUGCCUGGCAGAGCUGGGAAUCACCUGGGCUGUUGAGCGCUGUGUCUUGGGUGUAGCCCCUGAAUCGCCGUGCCAGUUUCUUUGGUUUGAGACCUUUACUGGCUCUGUAGCCUCUGACUGGCUCAGGCCUUGGACCUGGGCACCUCUCAGAUGGUUCCUCCUCAGCCCCUUCGAAGACUCCUCUCCCCUCUUCCCUGUUCCCUGGCCCAUCCUUAAAUGCUGGUGGCCCCUUCUCCUUGAGGUCUACACCCUCUGCCUUAGUUUGCUGCCCCCGCAGCACUUCUAGGGCCCUCUUGCUGAUGUGGGUUCGAGGAACUAAUAACCUUCCGAUGUCGCUGGCAGCAGGGAGGCCCCCACAGCCUGUCUAGAAAACAGUGAGGGGAAGUGUAGCACAAGGCUUCAUAUACCCCUCCCCUUUAGCCAGUAACUGUUUCCAGAAAUUCCGUUUCUAGGGAAAUAAUCUGAAAGAAACAAAGUGUUCCCUGCAUGAAGAUGUUUAUCAUAGGGUGAAGAGGAGACAACAGCCAGAUGCAACAAUAGGGAAGGGUUUUCUCCUACCUACUCCUGCGCGAGCUGGUGACCUCUGGGGCUCACUGGGUGCCGGACACUGUUCUCCAGCCUCUAUAUUAUUCGCUCCUUUAAUCCUUGUAACAACUUUUUGAAACAGGUACUAGUAACAUCCCCUUUGACAAGUGAAGAAACCGAGGCUUGGCAAGGUUAAUCAGCGUGCCCAAGGUCAGCCAGCUCCCUGAAGUCUGACUCUACCAGCCUCAACCGUUACCAGGGCGGCGAUGGUCAGCAGUCACAAUUACCAGGGGCUGCAGGAGAUCGUCAAAAUCUCGCAGAGCCUACGAUGAAGAAGACACAAGAGUUUGAGAGAGAGGAAGUCACUCGCUCCAGGUCAGCCAGCCAGCAAAUUGGGGAGGUCAGCCUUCAGAGCUCUGGCAACAGACCACUGCCAUGUCACAAAUAGCUUCCCAGCUUGCGAGAGUGUCUGGUAAGGGAUGAGUGAAUGGGGGAGACGGCAGGAAACUCAGCAGCCACAAAAGGGAGAGAUGUGCAGCCUGUUCAGGAACGAACACCAGGUGGAACAAAAGCGGGGCAGAACAAGAGCAUGUGCAUCCUCUUACCACCAUGACAUUAAGGCCAUGUCUGCACCCGGACCAAGAUGGGAAGGGAGCACAGAGCUGUGACUUCAGGGAAUAGGAAGGAUGGCAACAGACAUGGGGUUCUCUAUGACUUUCCAUUUUAUCUUCCAUUUUCACAGUAAGUUUUAAAACUCUACGUCUCCAGAUUCAGCAUGAGAAGGAGAAGUUCCUUGAAUCCUCUGGGCACUGGGGACAGCCAGUCCACCCACCCUGGGUAACAAAGGGAUGUGGUCAGUCCUCACGUGAGGAGGGACUGAGUGUCCUCCAUGGACCUGCGACGUCCCGUCUGUGAGGCCCUCGCUACUUUCUGCAAAUUUCUACAUGGAUCAGAGACAGGAGAAGCAGGCACACUGAUGGUUGUCUAGCACCACGUGCCAGUUUUUGGCAGUCGGGACCACCUCGACUUCCUGUCUCCAGGCAGGGUGGGGAGGGAAUGGUCCUUAUGCCCCAGGAGAGCCUCAAGGGCUGUGCACACCCUGCAAUGCAGGCACACCCCCUUCCACCCUCUGAAUGCUCUGCCACAAACAGCCACUGCGAGCGUAAUGAAGCCCCCAAAACAGGGAGCCCUGUGACUCACCACUGCUGCUUCAGGGACAGGGACAACUGCCAGAAUUCUUAGCUCUCUUUUACAGAUGGGGAAAUUGGGACUCAGAGAGGGAUGCGAUCUCUCCAAGCUCACACAGCCAAUCUGUGGCAGGGGAAUGAGAAAGUCUGGUCUGGUCUCCUCUCCCCAUGGCUGGGGCUCUCUCUGCAGUCCCGCCCUAUGCCCAGCCUGCACCCUCACCUGCCCCUGGCUCCUGGACUGGCAACUCAAGUCGUGACACGGACACGCUUUACCGAAUUUGCCUCCACACUUUGAGCGACUCAUUAGUAUAAAAAACACGUUCCUCACCACCCUUGCCAGAAGAUUCUUGACACAACACAGUUGGGGGGUUGGCACGCUCUCUCCGUUGUUAAGUAUUUAUAUAUAGUUAGUAUUGGAAUGGUCCCCGGACACCGAUCCAAGUCUCCCGUUUUCAGAUGGGGGGCACCAGGCUUAGGGUCAGGACCCCCCUGGAACAAUUCAGUAGCACAGCUGAGACAUAAAUCCACAGAGCCUGCCCUGAACUUUCCAGCUGCUCCUUGGCAAAUGGGCCAUGGGGAAAAAAAAUAAAUAAAGGCUGCCACUUACUAAGCAUUUGCUCUGUGCCAGGCACUUUGCAUAAAUCGGUGCUAAAUCUUAUCCUAAUUCUCUCAGGGAGGCAUUUUUAUCCCCAUUUUGCAGAUGAGCAAGCUGAGGCUCAGAGAGGGCAAGCCACCUGCCCAAGGUCACAGAGCCAGGGGCUGGAAAUGGCACACAUUUCUUCCCCCACGCCAGGGUUGGCAAAUGAUAGCCCAUAGGCAAAUUGAGCCCACCAUCUGUUUUUGUUGAAAUGGUUGAAAAAUAAUAGAAUAACAUUUCGUGACCCUGUGAAAAUGAUAUGCCGCUCAAAUUUUUGUGUUCAUAAAUAUACAGUUUUAUGAGAACACAGCCAUCUCCAUCCAUUUAUGUACGGGCUGUGGCUGCUUUCACCCUACAAGGGCAGAGUUGCAGCACUGCAACAGGGAUUGAAUGGGCUGCACAGCCUAAAAUAUUUACUAUCUGGCCCUUUGCAGGAAAAGCUUUCUAACUCCUGCCUUUUGCCGGGCUGUCUCCUGAAGGGUCUCAAAAGUAUGCAGCCCCCAUACGGUUGUGUAGGCCGUUUUCUGCACAAAAGCAUCAGGUGAAGGGGUCAAGGGCCUGCAAUCAGCCCUCCAUCUGCUUGCCAGGCUGUGCACCCUGGGGCCGGGUCCCCUGGAGGAAGGGCCUUUUCCUCACUUGUUCACCUUUCUGUGCUCCUUUUUUUUUUCUCUUUUUUCUUUUUUUUUUUGAGAUGGAGUCUUGCUCUGUCAC
rnacentral:lncRNA from 1 species